rnacentral:lncRNA from 1 species
AGGGAUUGGUGUUUCGGUGCACAUCUGUCCAAAACAAUACCCCCGGAGUUGCUAUAAAUUACUCAUUUUGGCACCCAUAAGUUAAGAAAACGAUUCAAUUUUUCUUUACAAAGUCAAUGUCAUGCUUCAUUGUUGUAUAGAAGUUAUACCGAUAUAAAUCACAUUUGCACAAGCACCGCAGUGGCUAACGUGUAGCUCUUCUAACCAGGAGAACGGGUUUGAGCCCCAGCUUCCAUACUUUUUCGCUCCCUUUUCUCACCCGCGUCUUCCACCCACGUAUGCGUCCAUGUCCGGGGCUUGACUCCCUGUUUUUUUGUCUUUUUUUCUCUCAUUUUGUUUUCUUAUUGCUUUAAAUUCAUUCAAGACAUCCAAAUUUUAAAAGUUGUAAGUUUUCAAAAGAAAAUGUUUGAGAAAUCCUAAAAUGUAUGCGAAUACAAAAAAAUGUUUAGGAAAUAAUCAAAAAAUUGCGGACUCAGAAAAUGUUAGUAUUUUUGCAAAACUGUUCGCAAGUAAUAAAAAAAUACUUAGUAAAAAUGGGUAGGAAAUAA